UAGCCUUACACAUGCAAGUCGAACGGCAGCACGGGAGCAAUCCUGGUGGCGAGUGGCGAACGGGUGAGUAAAGUAUCGGAACGUACCUUCAGUGGGGAUAACGUAGCGAAAGUUACGCUAAUACCGCAUAUUCUGUGAGCAGGAAAGCAGGGGAUCGCAAGACCUUGCGCUGAUUGAGCGGCCGAUAUCAGAUUAGCUAGUUGGUGGGUAAAGGCCUACCAAGGCGACGAUCUGUAGCGGGUCUGAGAGGAUGAUCCGCCACACUGGAACUGAGACACGGUCCAGACUCCUACGGGAGGCAGCAGUGGGGAAUUUUGGACAAUGGGGGCAACCCUGAUCCAGCCAUGCCGCGUGAGUGAAGAAGGCCUUCGGGUUGUAAAGCUCUUUCGGCCGGGACGAAAUCGCACGGGCUAAUAUCCUGUGUGGAUGACGGUACCGGAAUAAGAAGCACCGGCUAACUACGUGCCAGCAGCCGCGGUAAUACGUAGGGUGCGAGCGUUAAUCGGAAUUACUGGGCGUA
rnacentral:rRNA from 1 species